AGUUCGACUGGGGCGGUCUCCUCCUAAAGAGUAACGGAGGAGCACGAAGGUUGGCUAAGCAUGGUCGGACAUCAUGCGGUUAGUGCAAAGGCAUAAGCCAGCUUGACUGCGAGAGUGACGGCUCGAGCAGGUACGAAAGUAGGUCUUAGUGAUCCGGUGGUUCUGAAUGGAAGGGCCAUCGCUCAACGGAUAAAAGGUACUCCGGGGAUAACAGGCUGAUACCGCCCAAGAGUUCAUAUCGACGGCGGUGUUUGGCACCUCGAUGUCGGCUCAUCACAUCCUGGGGCUGAAGUAGGUCCCAAGGGUAUGGCUGUUCGCCAUUUAAAGUGGUACGCGAGCUGGGUUUAGAACGUCGUGAGACAGUUCGGUCCCUAUCUGCCGUGGGCGUUGGAAGAUUGAGAGGGGUUGCUCCUAGUACGAGAGGACCGGAGUGAACGCACCACUGGUGUUCGGGUUGUCAUGCCAAUGGCAGUGCCCGGUAGCUAAGUGCGGAAGAGAUAAUCGCUGAAAGCAUCUAAGCGGGAAACUUGCCUCGAGGUGAGUCUUCCCUGUCGCUUGACGCGAGCUAAACGAACGUUUAAGUCUAAGACGUUGAUAGGCUGGGUGUGUAAGCGUAGCGAUACGUUUUGCUAACCAGUACUAAUGUACCGUGAGGCUUAACCUGACAAC
rnacentral:rRNA from 1 species